rnacentral:rRNA from 1 species
UACGGAGGAUGCAAGCGUUAUCCGGAUUUAUUGGGUUUAAAGGGUACGUAGGCGGAAGUUUAAGUCAGUGGUGAAAGUCUGCAGCUCAACUGUAGAAUUGCCAUUGAAACUGAAUUUCUUGAAUGUAGUUGAGGUAGGCGGAAUGUGUAAUGUAGCGGUGAAAUGCUUAGAUAUUACACAGAACACCGAUUGCGUAGGCAGCUUACUAAGCUAUAAUUGACGCUGAGGUACGAAAGCGUGGGUAGCGAACAGG